GGCUUCGGCUGGAUUUCAUCGCAGAUGCUAUUGGGCUAUGUAGUUCCUAUUCCUAGUGCUGCUGGGAUAUGUAGGCGUCAGGCAAACAGGGGGAUGCACUUGUAAAACCACAUACUGAGUCCUAUGUUGCGCAUAGGUAUAUCGCAGCCAAAAUCAGAUCACUAAUUUUCAACAAGUUACAGACAACUCUCUCUUGUGCAUUCAACACUCCCAUUAUAUAAUCAUUGAUGACAUCAUGUGGGUGGCACUACGGAAGCUGACCUUCCCAUUGGUUAUCUGGGAAGUCUAAAUCGGAUUGGCCCUUGGAAAUUUCAUUUUUAACAGCCAGAGAGAACCUUCUGGCUGUAGUUCUCGCAACAUAACACCAGGUGGCAGCACAAACAGACACAGCAACAUUUGAAACAGCUUAAGUCAGUAUUUCUAUGAAAUGGUUAUUAAUUUUUAUCAUAAUUUAC